UCAAAUUAUAGCAUCUGAGCUUGGGUGGG
rnacentral:piRNA from 1 species